rnacentral:lncRNA from 1 species
CCUCAUCCACACCUUUGGUCUUGAUGGCUGUUUCAAUGUUCAAAGCAUCCCGCUCAGCAUCAAAGUUAGUGUAGGCUUUGACAGACCCAUAUGCACUUGGGGGUGUAGAGUGAUCACCCUCCAAGCUGAGCUUGCACAGGAUUUCGUGAACAGUAGACAUUUUGAAGGAAGCUGGGCCGUGCGCCGAGAGCUGAGAGCGUCCCCAAAUGCUGAACACAGGUGAAGCUCUUGAGUCCGCACUUGAUGAGCAGCAGAUAUUUUACAGAAAGAUCCACAUCACCCUCUAGUGGUCAAAGGGGCGAAUUCAUCCGAUGCCCGCUGAGCUCUGCCUCGGCCUGCCUGGGUGGGGAGUGGCCCGCCCCGCAGCGAGGCAGCAGGGAGGCAUCCCAAGUAUCAGAGCGGAAUUAAGAAAAAAGCAGCA